rnacentral:rRNA from 1 species
ACGUUCAUCGGAGCAGGGUGAGUCGGCCCCUAAGGCGAGGCAGAGAUGCGUAGCUGAUGGGAAGCAGGUUAAUAUUCCUGCACCGUCGUAUGAUGCGAUGGGGGGACGGAUCGCGGAAGGUUGUCCAGCUGUUGGAAUAGCUGGUUUCUGGUUCAUAGAAGGCGCUUAGGCAAAUCCGGGCGCAGGAUUCAAGGGACUGGGACGUG